UACGUAGGCAGCGAGCGUUGUUCGGAGUUACUGGGCGUAAAGGGUGCGUAGGCGGUUGUUUAAGUUUGGUGUGAAAUCUCCCGGCUCAACUGGGAGGGUGCGCCGAAUACUGAAUGACUAGAGUGCGGGAGAGGAAAGUGGAAUCCCGGGUGUAGCGGUGAAAUGCGUAGAUAUCCGGAGGAACACCGGUGGCGAAGGCGGCUUCCUGGACCGACACUGACGCUGAGGCGCGAAAGCUAGGGGAGCAAACGGG
rnacentral:rRNA from 1 species